GGGUGGGGAUUUGUUGCAUUACUUGUGCUUAUAUAUAAAGUAUUGCACUUGUCCCGGCCUGU
rnacentral:pre_miRNA from 1 species